rnacentral:rRNA from 1 species
GAUGAACGCUGGCGGCGUGCCUAAUACAUGCAAGUCGAACGCAUUGUGGUUGAAAUGAUAUGAAGAACUUGUUCAGAUUUGAUUUUAAACAUUGCAAUGAGUGGCGAACGGGUGAGUAACACGUGGGAAACCUACCUCUUAGCAGGGGAUAACAUUUGGAAACAAAUGCUAAUACCGUAUAAUAAUUAAAACCGCAUGGUUUUAGUUUAAAAGAUGGUCUUGCUAUCACUAAGAGAUGGUCCCGCGGUGUAUUAGUUAGUUGGUGAGGUAAUGGCUCACCAAGACAAUGAUACAUAGCCGAGUUGAGAGACUGACCGGCCACAAUGGGACUGAGACACGGCCCAUACUCCUACGGGAGGCAGCAGUAGGGAAUCUUCCACAAGUGGACGAAAGUCUGAUGGAGCAACGCCGCGUGUGUGAUGAAGGGUUUCGGCUCGUAAAACACUGGUUGUAAGAGAAGAAUGACAUUGAGAGUAACUGUUCAAUGUGUGACGGUAUCUUAACCG